rnacentral:tRNA from 1 species
UGGGAUGUAGCUCAGUGGUAGAGUACUUGCCUAGCAUGCAUAAGGCCUUGGGUUUGAUCCCCAGUACCGUUA